rnacentral:rRNA from 1 species
UGGGGAAUAUUGCGCAAUGGGCGCAAGCCUGACGCAGCGACGCCGCGUGAGGGAUGAAGGUUUUCGGAUCGUAAACCUCUGUCAGAAGGGAAGAAACCGCACUGUGCUAAUCAGCAGUGCCUUGACGGUACCUUCAAAGGAAGCACCGGCUAACUCCGUGCCAGCAGCCGCGGUAAUACGGAGGGUGCAAGCGUUAAUCGGAAUUACUGGGCGUAAAGCGCACGUAGGCUGCUUUGUAAGUCAGGGGUGAAAUCCCACGGCUCAACCGUGGAACUGCCUUUGAUACUGCUUAGCUUGAAUCCGGGAGAGGGUGGCGGAAUUCCAGGUGUAGGAGUGAAAUCCGUAGAUAUCUGGAGGAACAUCAGUGGCGAAGGCGGCCACCUGGACCGGUAUUGACGCUGAGGUGCGAAAGCGUGGGGAGCAAACAGG